UACGUAGGGUCCGAGCGUUGUCCGGAAUUACUGGGCGUAAAGAGCUCGUAGGUGGUUUGUCGCGUUGUUCGUGAAACUCACAGCUUAACUGUGGGCGUGCGGGCGAUACGGCAGACGUUGAGUACUGCAGGGAGACUGGAAUCCUGGUGUAGCGGUGGAAUGCGCAGAUAUCAGGAGGAACACCGAUGGCGAAGGCAGUUCUCUGGACCGUUACUGACGCUGAGGAGCGAAGCGUGGGAGCGAACAGG
rnacentral:rRNA from 1 species